AAAAUUUAGUUUAAAAUAAAAUAAAACUUUGUGGUAGUUUAGAUAAUUAAUAUUAAU
rnacentral:tRNA from 1 species